rfam:Beta vulgaris subsp. vulgaris Bvchr9.sca002.con0078.1, whole genome shotgun sequence.
GAAUGUGGUUAGAUCGUGCGGUAAGGUGUUGGGUUAAGUCCACAACGAGCGCAACCCCCGUGUUUAGUUGACAAUGUUGAGUUUUGAAUCCUAAAUAGACUGCCGGUGAUGAGUCGGAGAAAGAUGAGGAUGAAGUCAAGUCAUC